rnacentral:lncRNA from 1 species
AAAUGAUGGAGGUCAAGUGUGUGCAAAUGUAAAGGGAGACAUGGACAUCACACACCCAUUCAAACUGCACAUGCAAGGAAUUGAAGUGGUGCUCUCCUUAGCCUAUAAAUACAUCCACCAUUCCCCUUCCUAAGUACAAUCUGGAUCUAUAAAAAAAGAGCUUCAUUCACAAACACAAGUCCCUUGCCGUGAGCUCCAUUCCACUUCAUCCAUACAUUCAAACACAUCUCCAUACACUUCCAUUUUCCAUGCCAUGAGAUCCAUUCCAUCCAUACAUCCAUAAAUCCCACAUUUCACAAACACAAAUACAUUUUCCUUCCCUUGGCUGAGACAUUCACCAAUCCUAAAUACAUUCCUAACCUUUCCAUAUAUCCAUACACAUCCUAGACACUUGUGCCAUAACAAAGAGAGAAUGAGGACCCUUGGACGUGCUUGCCAUUCAAGUUGGAUAGUUGGAGCGUUUUUAGGUGUUUUCAUUCUUUUAUUUUCAAUGUCUAAAUUUGUUUAUCUUUGCUUUGUGAGUAUGAGGAACUAAACCCACCUUAGCUAGGGGGAAUUCGAAACCAUGUUCAUGCUUGCAAUAUGGUUUGAUUACUUUCAGUUGUGAUUCAUAACUUGUGAAUUCAAUUUACUUAUCCAUUCGAAUUAAAACUGAUUUGUGUAUGUUGGUUGAGAGUGCACUCUUAAUUUUCAUGCAUAAAUCUGAUGCUAGGAUAUAAGGGAGUUUCACCUAAUCGUUAUGAACUUAUAUUCACAAGUAGUGAAGGUUGCUCGUCACAACUGUGUUAAGUAAAUUCUUGGCAUAAGUUUCAUGCAAUUCAUAGUUACAAGUGUUUCGUCAAUGCUUAUGAUUUUCAUAGAACUUAAUGAUUUUUGCUUGUAUCUCUACUAUGCAAUUCAUGUAGGGAACCUGUGGGGAAUGCUUUGGGUUGUUGUAUGCAAUCAUCCAAUUCAAUGAAAUUAGGAAAAUCUGAGGGUUAAUUAGUGCAAUUCAUAGUUAAUCUGGGGCGUUGAGAAUUCGUAGUUUUUUUUAAAAGCAACUGGAAAUCGUUUUGUUUGCAAGUGUGUCAUGUGUGGGGAAGAACCUGCUAGCUAGCCUUCCAUCCAUUCAAUUUACUCAAAUUCGUGCAGAUUUCAUUAGUUCUUUAAUUUACUUGUUUUGUUUUCAAAUUCAUCAAAACUAAAACCCCCUUUACCUUGUUGAGUCAUAUUAGUUAGAAACUGAUUUAGUUUGUAUUUUUAAGUAUUUCGAACCAAGUUGAAACCAAAAUUCGUCCAAAAGUGUGUUUAGAGUCCAAAUCUACCCAGUUUGUGUUUUUAGGCAGAUUUGAGUGUGUUUAGCUUGUUUAGAGUUCUUUGAGAUUGUUUUGAAUUCUUUGAGUCUAGUUUAGUGUUUUUAACUUUGUUUAUAUAUUUUAAAGUAAGUUUAGAGGUUUUAGCAAGCCCUCGUAAUCCCUGGUUUAGAACGAUCCCUACUUGCAUUUAUACUACAAUUUGACAACAAGAGGGUUUAAUUUGUGUGUUAAGUUAAUUUUCGCAUCAACGAGUUGAUGACUAUGUAGAUCAGGUCCCCUUUACCUCUCAUGGUGUCCAUGCCGAACACGAUGCCGCAAUCAGCAAGCUUUUGGCGGUUGUUGCUCUACUCCUCACAGCGAAAAUGUAGAGAAAAUUAACAAAACCUAGACUGGGGUUUUGGGCUAAAAGCUAAAAAUGCAUGAUUUGUGGAAAACCCAGCUGGGAUUAAAAGCUGGAAGAAGAAGAAGAAGGUUUUGGGGGGGGGGGGGGGGGGGGAAGAGAGCGAGACCGUGGGAGAGAGAGAUCGAGAGGGAGGAGAUUGAAGAUCGAGAGGGAGGAGAUUGAGAAUCGACAGAUCCAAAAGGGAGGACUGAGAAAAGGAGAGUAUUCGAGAAUGUGUGAGAAAAUAGGAGAGGUCCAUAAUUACUAAUUUAAUAAAAUAGGAAAAAUAUGAGAAAAUAGAAUUUAACUCAGAGUCCCAUAAUUACUCAAGACACCCACCAAGAGCAUUUUAAUUAUUUCACAUCUUUUGGCAAUAGAAUAAUAUUAUUUCAAGGUACGAGUUGUAACAGUCUACCCUCGUUAAGAAAAUCUCAUCCCCAAAAUUUCAAAAACGACUGGUAGAAUAGAUGUGGAUAUUGAGUUCUCAUAUUUUCCUCUGUCUGCUAAAUAGCUUUUUCUAUCGUGUGUUUAUUCCACAAAACCUUCAUCAAUAGCAUCAACUCGGUUAAAAGAGUUUUCUCUCUACAAUUUAGUAUAGUAACUUGUUCCUCUCCAUAGCUUAGAUCAUUCCGUAGCUCCAUUUGUGAUGAUUCUGAAUAUGAGAUGCGUCUAGAACAUACCUUCGAAGCAUCGAUACAUGAAACAUAUCAUGCACAAGUGAUAACUCCGGAGUAAAUCCAAACAAUAAUAUGCACUUCACUCAUUUUAGAGAGGGAGUAAGGACCAAUGGAUCGAGGAUUGAGCUUUCCUCGCUUCCUGAGCCUCAUCACCCCUUUCUUGGUGAUAAGGAGUACACAAUCCCUAACAGUGCCAAGUCAUGGUUUCUUGUAUAAUCAUCAGUCAUAUUCUUAUGUUGAUUUUGAGUAACCUUCAAAUUCCUCCUUAGCACUUUCGACUCUUUAGUAGCAUUAUCCACUAGUUUUGGACUCAUAACAGUUUGUUCUUCAACUUCGUUCCAAUACAAUGGAGUUUUGCCAACUUUACCAUUCAUGCCUCGAAUGGUAACGUACCGAGACUUGUAUGGAAGCAGUUGUUAUAGGAAAAUCCUAUCAUAGAUAGAUGGUGAUUUCAACUUUCACUGAACUGCAUCACAGUUACCAUUAACCUAUCCUUCAAUGUCUAAAUAGUCCUCUCAGACCAUCUGUCAGUUGAAGAAUGAUGAGUAGUACUGUGUAGUAUGUGAGUACCUGUGGUGUGCUAAAAAGCCUUCCAAAGCUUGGACGUGGGGCAUCUAGAUCAGAAUAAUUGUUACAGGUAUUCCGUGCAAAUUAAUAAUCUGGUUGCUAAAAAGUUUAGCCAAUUUGGUAAUAGAAUAUGUUUCACGAACAUCAAAUAAACAUGCUGACUUCGUGAGACGAUUGACGAUUAUGCAAAUGUCAUCAGUACUAAUUCUCGGUUCAGAAAUUUGGAUUAGAAAUUUAUCGUAAUCUCUUCUCAUUCUCCAUUUAGGGAUAAGAAGAAAUUGAGAUAAGCUUACUGGGUUCCCAUCUCUCGGCUUUCACUUGUUAGCAUACUAACCAUCUUCUUACAUAUUCAUCUGUUUCCAUUUCAUACUCGACCAAUAGUAGAAGGGCUAGAUAGUGUAAUACAUCUUGGUAGAACCAAGAUGCACAGCACUACGCUGAGAUAUGUGCCUCAUCUAGUGAUGUGAAAAUUAUGUUGACCCUCAAAUUAACCCUCUUUUUAUCAAUUGUAGCAAAGUAUGUAAGUAGGGAUCGUUCUAAACCGGGGAUUAGGAGGGAUUGCAAAAUCACUUGAAAACUGACUCAAAUACGUAAAAACAAGUUUAAAAACUAAACUAGACUCAAAGAAUGCAAAACUAAACUUUAAAA